rnacentral:rRNA from 1 species
GACGAACGCUGGCGGCGUGCCUAAUACAUGCAAGUAGAACGCACAGUUUAUACCGUAGCUUGCUACACCAUAAACUGUGAGUUGCGAACGGGUGAGUAACGCGUAGGUAACCUGCCUGGUAGCGGGGGAUAACUAUUGGAAACGAUAGCUAAUACCGCAUAAUAUUGAUUAUUGCAUGAUAAUUGAUUGAAAGAUGCUAUUGCAUCACUACCAGAUGGACCUGCGUUGUAUUAGCUAGUAGGUGAGGUAACGGCUCACCUAGGCGACGAUACAUAGCCGACUCGGGGGGGGGCCGGACCAACCGGGAACUGGGCCACGGCCCGAACUCCUCAGGGAGGGACAAGGAGGGAAUUUUCGGGAAGGGAAGAAAGUCUGACCGAGCAACGCCGGGGGAGGGAAGAAGGUUUUCGGAUCGAAAAGCUUUGUUGUAAGGGAAGAAGGGGUGGGGAAGUGAAAAGUUCCCCCUGUGACGGUAUUUACCCAAAAAGGGACGGCUAACUACGU